rnacentral:rRNA from 1 species
AUUGAACGCUGGCGGCAUGCCUUACACAUGCAAGUCGAACGGCAGCACGGGUGCUUGCCCCUGGUGGCGAGUGGCGAACGGGUGAGUAAUACAUCGGAACAUGUCCUGUAGUGGGGGAUAGCCCGGCGAAAGCCGGAUUAAUACCGCAUACGAUCUACGGAUGAAAGCGGGGGACUUUCGGGCCUCGCGCUAAAGGGUUGGCCGAUGGCUGAUUAGCUAGUUGGUGGGGUAAAGGCCUACCAAGGCGACGAUCAGUAGCUGGUCUGAGAGGACGACCAGCCACACUGGGACUGAGACACGGCCCAGACUCCUACGGGAGGCAGCAGUGGGGAAUUUUGGACAAUGGGCGAAAGCCUGAUCCAGCAAUGCCGCGUGUGUGAAGAAGGCCUUCGGGUUGUAAAGCACUUUUGUCCGGAAAGAAAUCCUUGGCUCUAAUACAGUCGGGGGAUGACGGUACCGGAAGAAUAAGCACCGGCUAACUACGUG